GUAGGAUAUAUGGGCUAAUGUCGAUCAGAUGGACGUGUGGGUUGAAGAAUUGAGGUUAUAAGAAUGGAAAACCAAAAAGGGUUUUGCUCAUUGCUUAGGGAUUCCAAGGUGCUUUUUCACUUUGAGCUCUAUGCACAUCCAAUGCAACUACAGCUUCCCAGUCAAAACCUUAAGAGACCUUUCUGCUGGACUUGGGUUUGCUCAUUGCUUAGGGAUUUCUAGCUGCUUUUUCACUUUGAGCUGUAGUCACAUCCACCACCUCUGCAUAAUGUGUAGGUUACACAUGAUCUGUGACAGUAUUUAUUCAAAGUGUGCUGGUGUUGGAGUUUCUUC